AGUGAACGCUGGCGUAGGCCUAACACCUGCAAGUCGAACGGCAGCACAGUAAGAGCUUGCUCUUACGGGUGGCGAGUGGCGGACGGGUGAGGAAUACAUCGGAAUCUACUUUUUCGUGGGGGAUAACGUAGGGAAACUUACGCUAAUACCGCAUACGACCUACGGGUGAAAGCAGGGGAUCUUCGGACCUUGCGCGAUUGAAUGAGCCGAUGUCGGAUUAGCUAGUUGGCGGGGUAAAGGCCCACCAAGGCGACGAUCCGUAGCUGGUCUGAGAGGAUGAUCAGCCACACUGGAACUGAGACACGGUCCAGACUCCUACGGGAGGCAGCAGUGGGGAAUAUUGGACAAUGGGCGCAAGCCUGAUCCAGCCAUACCGCGUGGGUGAAGAAGGCCUUCGGGUUGUAAAGCCCUUUUGUUGGGAAAGAAAAGCAGCAGGUUAAUACCCCGCUGUUCUGACGGUACCCAAAGAAUAAGCACCGGCUAACUUCGUG
rnacentral:rRNA from 1 species